CCAAUUUACAAGAGUAGAAAUAACCACAUUGAAUUUGAGAGAGGCAAACCUGCAAUCUAUUUGAAAGCACUCUUUGAUUUUAUCUCAAGUCGAAUGUGAAGAUUCAAUACCCAUUGAAAGUUGGCCGUGAAAUUCGCUUAAAAUUUUCAUCGCAGAGAAGAAACAAGGAUGAUAUUGCGAUAAUGCAAAAGCUAGAAAUUUUAGCACAUACUAAGAACUUAAUUCUUUCUGGUUAUUUUUAGAUUUCUUUUUUGACUAUAUUGCGUCCUUAAAAUUUUCUAAAUCAUCUAGAUAAGGCGAAAAUUAACAAUGGUUGCUCAUUUUUAGUUCAUCGGAUAACUAAGGAUGCGCAGUUACUUCUAAGCAUCAAAGUUUGGGACUUCAAACUGUGAUUAAGUGCAGCUAAUUGUUAUUAGAACAUCACAAAACGUUUAUUGAAAAAACGUAUAGCAUAACCGAGAAACACCUGAUAUAGUCCUAAAUUUUUACUUUACCAACAUGUGAUGAAUUCUUUGAUUCCGUUCAGCCCAGUUGAAAUUUCAUUAUUCCGUUUAGCCUGUUCCCCGUGCAAUGUAGACCUAGUCUACGCCGGUUAGCGUUCCGAAUAGAUGGGCAAAAAAUUUGAUACUUCACAAAACACCAAUUCCGGAUCGACGCUUUUUAAAUUGGUGGUAAGGUAUCAACUAUGGGGAAUCGCUUGAAUAUUGAAAGCACAAGAUAAAUCUUUGUUUUAUUAUCUGCCACAAUGUUUUCAAUUCAAAGCAAUUUGAUGAGACACUAAGUUUUGUAUAUACAAUUUUAAUGAUCUUAACAAAUUACAGGAAGCGUUUUUUAACUCUAAAAUUAUGAAACUGAGAUGCUUAGUCAGUAUAAUAAAUAUGCAUCUCCAUCGGAGAUGCAAGAACAAUAAUUUGCAUAUUUGCGCAUCAAGCUCUAGAUUAAAAAAAAAAAGGGUCAAGAUGGAAUUAUUGGACAUUAAGUGGUUUACUAGCUAUAGCACAAAAUUUGUAUAAAAUACGAUAGCUGACAUUUCUGAUCUUUCAUUGAUUUGCGAAUCAGUUUUCCAAAUCAAAGGUUUCUCGUUUCUAUCACAAUUUCUUUCACUAAAAAUAACAGUGGCUUCAAAAAGUUGACAAUAUCUCAUAAAAUGUUAUUGAGACUAUUCGGUUUAUGGAUGUAUCUGCUUCCUCAUUACCCAAAACACAACUCAAUUUCAAAAAUAUUAAAAAUUAGAGUUAAAUUAAGCCUCGUCUAAGCGAAUCUAUUUUGUUACUCUGAGCUCCGCAUUCAACAUUAGACAAAUUAACAAAAGGAGGGUUCUAUUCUUGUCAAGCGAAGUCCCGUGUUUACUUUGUUUCUUUAUUUAGAAAAAAGAUUUUUAGAAGGCAAAGCGUUAUAUUUAUAUAUAUUUAAUAUUUCGCUAUUGCUAAAAUUGGGGGUUUUCUUUUUUUAAGCAGGGCAUCUGUCAAGGUUGUAUUUCUAAAAAGCAAACAAAUCAGUGCUUUCACUGAAAAGACGAAAUUUUUUUUACCUUCGUUCUAAUUUUUUUUUCUUAAGCUCUAAGUUGGUUUUACUUUAAUAUUGUCCACGAUUCUUUACGAUUCUUAGGUUGCUUCCAUUGUAAGACUUUGUCUAUAUUUUCUUGACAAGGCGUAAAUCCUUUUUCCGAAAUGUGAUACCCUAUAAAUUUUACUUGUGAUUGGUGAAAUUCACAUUUUGCUUGAUUGAUAAUUAAGUUCGCAUUUUUCAAUUUCUGUAGAACGUCUUUAACAUGUUUUACAUGUUCAGAUUCCGAUUUUGAAUGAAUUAAAAUAUCAUCCAUAUAACAUACUACAUGUGAUUCUUUG
rnacentral:lncRNA from 1 species